CGGAGGGUGCAAGCGUUAUCCGGAUUUACUGGGUUUAAAGGGUGCGUAGGUGGGUAAGUAAGUCAGUGGUGAAAUCUUCGAGCUUAACUCGGAAACUGCCAUUGAUACUAUUUAUCUUGAAUACUCUGGAGGUAAGCGGAAUAUGUCAUGUAGCGGUGAAAUGCUUAGAUAUGACAUAGAACACCAAUUGCGAAGGCAGCUUACUACAUAGUUAUUGACACUGAGGCACGAAAGCGUGGGGAUCAAACAGGAUUAGAUACCCUGGUAGUCCACGCCCUAAACGAUGGAUACUCGACAUCAGCGAUACACUGUUGGUGUCUGAGCGAAAGCAUUAAGAUCCCACCUGGGAAGUACGAUCGCAAGAUUG
rnacentral:rRNA from 1 species